AGAGUUUGAUCCUGGCUCAGGACGAACGCUGGCGGCGUGCUUAACACAUGCAAGUCGAACGGAAAGGCCCUUCGGGGUACUCGAGUGGCGAACGGGUGAGUAACACGUGGGUGAUCUGCCCUGCACUUUGGGAUAAGCCUGGGAAACUGGGUCUAAUACCGAAUAGGACCGCAUGCUUCAUGGUGUGUGGUGGAAAGCUUUUGCGGUGUGGGAUGGGCCCGCGGCCUAUCAGCUUGUUGGUGGGGUAAUGGCCUACCAAGGCGACGACGGGUAGCCGGCCUGAGAGGGUGUCCGGCCACACUGGGACUGAGAUACGGCCCAGACUCCUACGGGAGGCAGCAGUGGGGAAUAUUGCACAAUGGGCGCAAGCCUGAUGCAGCGACGCCGCGUGGGGGAUGACGGCCUUCGGGUUGUAAACCUCUUUCAGUAUCGGCGAAGCUCCAGGAUUUUUCUUGGGGUGACGGUAGGUACAGAAGAAGCACCGGCCAACUACGUGCCAGCAGCCGCGGUAAUACGUAGGGUGCGAGCGUUGUCCGGAAUUACUGGGCGUAAAGAGCUCGUAGGUGGUUUGUCACGUUGUCCGUGAAAACUCACAGCUUAACUGUGGGCGUGCGGGCGAUACGGGCAGACUGGAGUACUGUAGGGGAGACUGGAAUUUCUGGUGUAGCGGUGGAAUGCGCAGAUAUCAGGAGGAACACCGGUGGCGAAGGCGGGUCUCUGGGCAGUAACUGACGCUGAGGAGCGAAAGCGUGGGGAGCGAACAGGAUUAGAUACCCUGGUAGUC
rnacentral:rRNA from 1 species